UCAUUUUUUUUAAUGUAAAAGUUUUCUAUGAUUAUAACAUCUAUUUAACAUUAAACGUAUGCUUUACUGUACCUCUGCGCUUUACAAUGCUUCCCUAUGCUUUACCAGACCUCUCUGUGCUUUACAAUGCUUCCCUAUGCUUUACCAGACCUCUCUGUGCUUUACAAUGCUUCCCUAUGCUUUACCAGACCUCUCUGUGCUUUACAAUGCUUCCCUAUGCUUUACCAGACCUCUCUGUGCUUUACAAUGCUUCCCUAUGCUUUACCAGACCUCUCUGUGCUUUACAAUGCUUCCCUAUGCUUUACCACACCUCUCUGUGCUUUACAAUGCUUCCCUAUGCUUUACCAGACCUCUCUGUGCUUUACAAUGCUUCCCUAUGCUUUACCACACCUCUCUGCGCUUUACAAUGCUUCCCUAUGCUUUACCACACCUCUCUGUGCUUUACAAUGCUUCCCUAUGCUUUACCAGACCUCUCUGUGCUUUACAAUGCUUCCCUAUGCUUUACCAGACCUCUCUGUGCUUUACAAUGCUUCCCUAUGCUUUACCAUACCUCUCUGUGCUUUACAAUGCUUCCCUAUGCUUUACCACACCUCUCUGUGCUUCACAAUGCUUCCCUAUGCUUUACCAGACCUCUCUGUGCUUUACAAUGCUUCCCUAUGCUUUAUCAGACCUCUCUGUGCUUCACAAUGCUUCCCUAUGCUUUACCAGACCUCUCUGUGCUUUACAAUGCUUCCCUAUGCUUUACCAGACCUCUCUCUGCUUUACAAUGCUUCCCUAUGCGUUACCACACCUCUCUGUGCUUUACAAUGCUUCCCUAUGCUUUACCACACUUCUCUGUGCUUUACAAUGCUUCCCUAUGCUUUACCAGACCUCUCUGUGCUUUACAAUGCUUCCCUAUGCUUUACCAGACCUCUCUGUGCUUUACAAUGCUUCCCUAUGCUUUACCAGACCUCUCUGUGCUUUACAAUGCUUCCCUAUGCUUUACCACACCUCACUGUGCUUUACAAUGCUUCCCUAUGCUUUACCACACCUCUCUGUGCUUUACAAUGCUUCCCUAUGCUUUACCAGACCUCUCUGUGCUUUACAAUGCUUCCCUAUGCUUUACCACACCUCUCUGUGCUUCACAAUGCUUCCCUAUGCUUUACCAGACCUCUCUGUGCUUUACAAUGCUUCCCUAUGCUUUAUCAGACCUCUCUGUGCUUCACAAUGCUUCCCUAUGCUUUACCAGACCUCUCUGUGCUUUACAAUGCUUCCCUAUGCUUUACCAGACCUCUCUCUGCUUUACAAUGCUUCCCUAUGCGUUACCACACCUCUCUGUGCUUUACAAUGCUUCCCUAUGCUUUACCACACUUCUCUGUGCUUUACAAUGCUUCCCUAUGCUUUACCAGACCUCUCUGUGCUUUACAAUGCUUCCCUAUGCUUUACCAGACCUCUCUGUGCUUUACAAUGCUUCCCUAUGCUUUACCAGACCUCUCUGUGCUUUACAAUGCUUCCCUAUGCUUUACCACACCUCUCUGUGCUUUACAAUGCUUCCCUAUGCUUUACCACACCUCACUGUGCUUUACAGUGCUUCCCAAUGCUUUACCAUGCUUUCACUGUGCUUGAUCACACUUCGCUGUGCUUUCACUGUGGGUCUGCUUGACUCCUGGCUAGCUGUUUGUGUUUGAAGGCGUGGAUGUUGCUGCACAUCUGCAUGUUGUGUUUUGCAAUAACUCUGUGUGGGUUUCACAUUGGAAUGGGGAACAGAGAGUGGUUUUAUUGUGUCUUUAUAUUUUGGUUUUCAAUGUAUUUUCUUUCUUUUUCAGUAAAACCGGAGAACACAGCCGGAGCAGCUUCCAGUCACAUCAUCACAGGCUGGACUGAGGUGAAUCUCAACACCAGCACUGCGGUGAAGUACAGUCCCAGCACAGGAAGGUUCACAGUGCUAACUGACGG